CCCUUAGAUGUUCUGGGCCGCACGCGUGCUACACUGAGUGGAUCAGCGGGUCAGGUUGCGCGAAAGCGUUUCCUAAUCUUGAAAUCCGCUCGUGAUGGGGAUUGACGGUUGCAAUUUUCCGUCAUGAACGAGGAAUACCUUGUAAGCGCGGGUCAUCAUCCCGCGCUGAAUACGUCCCUGCCCUUUGUACACACCGCCCGUCGCUCCUACCGAUUGAGUGGUCCGGUGAGGCUUUGGGAUCUGAGCGGAAAGAGCGUUUCGCUGUUUCUGCUCGGAAAACUCAGUCGAACCUUAUCAUUUAGAGGAAGGAGAAGUCGUAACU
rnacentral:rRNA from 1 species